rnacentral:rRNA from 1 species
UGGGGGAUAUUGCACAAUGGGCGAAAGCCUGAUGCAGCGACGCCGCGUGGGGGAUGAAGGCCUUCGGGUUGUAAACUUCUUUUGCUCUGAACAAGGCAUGCUAAUGGGUGUGUUGAGUGUAGGGGUUGAUUAGCGCCGGCUAACUACGUGCCAGCAGCCGCGGUAAUACGUAGGGCGCGAGCGUUGUCCGGAAUUAUUGGGCGUAAAGGGCUUGUAGGUGGCUGUUUGCGUCUGUCGUGAAAGCUCAUGGCUUAACUGUGGGUUUGCGGUGGGUACGGGCUGGCUUGAGUGCAGUAGGGGAGGCUGGAAUUCCUGGUGUAGCGGUGGAAUGCGCAGAUAUCAGGAGGAAUACCGGUGGCGAAGGCGGGUCUCUGGGCUGUUACUGACACUGAGGAGCGAAAGCAUGGGGAGCGAACAGG